GUGCUUGCUUCAGCAGCACACAUUCUAAAAUUGGAAUGAUACAGAGAUUAACAUGGUUCCUUUGCAAGGAUGACAUGAAAAUUAAUGAAGUGUUUCAUAUUUUC
ensembl:snRNA U6 U6 spliceosomal RNA